CGUCAGCUUUCGACUCUUGUGUCGAGUCGUUUACGUUUGCUUCUGUCUGAUUUUCGCCUGCUUUUAUCAUGGUGGUGGUUCAGGGUAUGACAGGCGAGAAGAUAAAAUAGAAAUGAAGAAACUGAAAGAUGAAUUCAAUGAUAAAUUGAAUGCUGAUGUUUUUCUCGAACAAGAUGAAGGCGUCUCUAAACUUGACAGAAAAUGCCAAACAAGUUGAUGGCCGCGCAAGGCGCGAAAGAAAACUGAUUUUUCGAUGAUGGUUAGAAAAGGUAAAUUUUUAAAUGAGAAUGUUCGCCGGACAGUGGUGUAGCUAGCCCGACGAUUCAGUCCCGCUAUGCAAAUAUUGUAGCCGUUCCGCAUCGUUGUAACCAACAAUUUAUUGUAGUUGUAAAGCAAUUGUAUGCAAUAAAGUACUGGGUUGUAUACGUAAUGGUUUACAAUUACAAUAACCCCAAUCCAAAUACUAAUCCUAACCCCAAUCCAAACACUAAUCCUAACCCUAAUUCUAACCCUAAUCCUAACCUCUAACCUCUAACCCUAACUCUAAUCUAAACUUGAUGACCUUUUAUAAAUAAUCUCACCUCUUUUCACCAGAAUGACUUGAGAGGAACAACCAAAAGAGAAACGUUCGCUUCACUCUCAACCCAACAUCUCCGGGGCAGACGUCGACGUGAAAUUGAU